rnacentral:rRNA from 1 species
CCAAGGCAACGAUCCGUAGCCGGCCUGAGAGGGCGGUCGGCCACACUGACACUGACAUACGGGUCAGACUCCUACGGGAGGCAGCAGUCGGGAAUUUUGGGCAAUGGGCGAAAGCCUGACCCAGCAACGCCGCGUGAAGGAUGAAAUCCCUCGGGAUGUAAACUUCGCAAGAACGGGAAGAAUAAGUAGGGGACAAUACCCCCUAUGAUGACGGUACCGUUUGUAAGCUCCGGCUAACUCCGUGCCAGCAGCCGCGGUAAUACGGGGGGAGCAAGCGUUGUUCGGAUUUACUGGGCGUAAAGGGCGCGUAGGCGGCCAGUGCAAGUCAGUUGUGAAAUCUCCGAGCUUAACUCGGAAAGGUCAACUGAUACUGCUCGGCUAGAGUGCGGAAGGGGCAACUGGAAUUCUUGGUGUAGCGGUGAAAUGCGUAGAUAUCAAGAGGAACACCUGCGGCGAAGGCGGGUUGCUGGGCCGACACUGACGCUGAGGCGCGAAAGCUAGGGGAGCGAACGGGAUUAGAUACCCCGGUAGUCCUAGCCUUAAACGAUGAAUGCUUGGUGUCUGGGGUUAUAUAGUCCCCGGGUGCCGUCGCUAACGCUUUAAGCAUUCCGCCUGGGGAGUACGGUCGCAAGACUGAAACUCAAAGGAAUUGACGGAAUCGAAUU